UACGUAGGGUGCAAGCGUUAUUCGGAAUUACUGGGCGUAAAGCGCGUGUAGGCGGCCAGAUAGGUCUGCUGUGAAAACUCGAGGCUCAACCUCGAGCUGUCGGCGGAAACCAUCUGGCUAGAGUCCGGAAGAGGAGAGUGGAAUUCCUGGUGUAGCGGUGAAAUGCGCAGAUAUCAGGAAGAACACCUAUGGCGAAGGCAGCUCUCUGGGACGGUACUGACGCUGAGACGCGAAAGCGUGGGGAGCGAACAGG
rnacentral:rRNA from 1 species